CGACGGGGAAGGAGAGUGAGGCCGGGCACGCACCUGCAAACAGCGCUCUGUGUUUGAUGAUCUUGCCCUGUAUCUCCUCCUUCUUGUUGUCUGCCGUUGUCAUGGAAACACGCAGCUGCUCCGCCUCCAGCUGACGCAGGAACGUGAUGAGGCUCGGCCGGUUUAUCCUAAGAGACGAGCAUAAAGUGAGCGCUGGAGGAUCGUGACGGGCGUGGUACCUGCUCAGGUGAGCGUCUUACCUCUGGAAGGUGAUGGAGAAGGUCAGACUCGUCCGGCUGAGAGUGAAUCUGGCCCGAGCGACGCCGCUGGAGCUCGGCAGCCACGAGUCCGUCUCGCCGGACUUGUGCAGGUCGUCGUCCUUCUCCUGGAAGAACUCAAACAGAGACUCCGCCUCCUUUCUCCCGGAGUCGCCUGUAACCACGGGAACCGAGAUGCAUGAUGUCAGAAAAAUCACAGAACGCACAAUAGAG